UGCAACCAAGAUCACUGGGGGACCAUCC
rnacentral:piRNA from 1 species